UACGUAGGGUGCAAGCGUUAAUCGGAAUUACUGGGCGUAAAGCGUGCGCAGGCGGUUUUGUAAGUCUGACGUGAAAUCCCCGGGCUCAACCUGGGAAUUGCGUUGGAGACUGCAAGGCUUGAAUCUGGCAGAGGGGGGUAGAAUUCCACGUGUAGCAGUGAAAUGCGUAGAGAUGUGGAGGAACACCGAUGGCGAAGGCAGCCCCCUGGGUCAAGAUUGACGCUCAUGCACGAAAGUGUGGGGAGCAAACAGG
rnacentral:rRNA from 1 species